rnacentral:lncRNA from 10 species
AGUCAGCAGGCGGUUGGGGCGGGCCCGCUGCGGGGCUGGGGCGGGUGCUUUCUCGUUUAACACGAACCAGACAGGCAGUUAGGUUUGAACAAAUGAGGAUCCGGAGGUCCAGAGAGUAUAGGUGCAGAGAGUAAAGUGACAGGUCUAAGUAGUGAAGUAGCCGGGGCUGGAACCCUCGUCCCAGGCAGUGGGGCACAGGCUGUCUUCAUCGCGGAGAUGGCAGUCGGGGAGCGUCGCUCCAGAAAGGGCCAGGGAGUGCGGGAGCGUCCGUGUGCGAAAGAGAACGCCCCAGUGGGAUGCUUUGGCUGUGUCUCUCCCUUUUGGAGGAGUUGGUGGGUGGUGGAGUCGUUAAGUCCCGUGCAGUUGUUAGUGCAGGGUAAGAAUGGGCUCCUCCAGAGAGGGUAGCGCCGAAUAGGAUUUCGUUUGGAGGCAGGACUGGUGCCUCAAGGUCUCUUUAAAAGGAAGAUAAGCGAGCGGCCUGAAACUACCGGGUACUCCCUCUGGGCCCAUGGGCUUCAUGGUGGCCGACCUUUGGGUGAGAAGGUUUUUGUUUUUUGGUUUUGUAUCCGAAAUUACAUCUAGGGCUAAUGUUUCUUGAAAAUGUUAAGGUUGAACUCGGAUUUUUGGGGUUGAGUUGGAUGGAGCUUGCAUCCUUACAUUCAACUCAGAACAAGCUUGAAUGCCUGCUGCAAGGAUGACCUGGUCUGUAGUGUGACCACAAGAUAUAACCUUCUGCUAGGGGAAAUUUUUUUCCCCCUGGAGUUAGCUGAUCCUUUUUGAUUUUUAUGUUUUCAUUCCCUAAUUUGCAAUCUCUCCAGCCGUGCUGAUGUGUAUUUCAGGGGAAACCUGUGGGCCGAUGAGUUAAUGCAUUUAUUCUUUGCUACUACUAUUCUCCUUUUUAUGUUUUUGGGCUAAACCUGAAACAGCCAAUAUUUCAUGGAGUGAGGCCCCAUCUUUUUUAUAGCUUUACUUGUGAUACUAUAUCUAGGGUAAGAGCUUACCGAAAAAUGGAAGUCUUUGUUUCCAUUAGGUUUAUUAAGCCCAGUUUAAAAUUACUAAGAUGAGAAGAAUCAUUUCGUAAUUCAAAGUAGGAAACUCCUACCUAAUCUGAUAGAAUAUACAAUUAUUAGUAUCCCUAUAUAGUUCAUUACUCCUCAUAGGAACUCACUAAAUAAUGAAAAUUCUUGCAACAUUAUAUUUGCAUACCACUUUAAACUUCUUUGUGGAGUCCUUGGUUCCUAGCCCAGGUUGUGCCAGUAAGUGUUUAGAGUGCUGUCAUUUAAUCUUCAUGUCAGAGAGGGAAAGCGGUAUGGUACAGUAAGUAGUUAAGAAUGUAGGGCCGGGCACGGUGGCUCACGCCUGUAAUCCCAGCACUUCGGGCUUCCGAGGCGGGCGGAUCACGAGGUCAGGAGAUCAAGACUAUCCUGGCUAACACGGUGAAACCCCGUCUCUACUAAAAAUACAAAAAAUUAGCCAGUCUUGGUAGCACGCGCCUGUAGUCCCAGCUACUCGGGAGGCUGAGGCAGGAGAAUCGCUUGAACCCGGGAGGCGGAGGUUGCAGUGAGCCGGGAUCACACCACUGCACUCCAGCCUGGGCGACAGAGUGAGACUCCGUUCAAAACACAAACAAACAAAAAAACCCAAAAACCAAACCAAAGCGAAACAAAACAAAAAGAAUGUAGACUAAAGAGAAGAUUGCCAAGAGUGUCUUCUGGGUUCUGCCACUUCACUGUGUGGCCUUGGCAACCUCCCGACUUCUAGUAAAUUACCCAGAGCCCUAUCGUUCUCAGAUAUUGGAUUAUCUCUUUAAGCCGAAUUUUGGUGCCUCUUUGCAUAUUUUAAAAGUGGAAAUAGGUGGUGAUGGGCAGACAACAGACGGCACUGAGCCCUCCCACAUGCAUUAUGCACUAGAUGAGAAUUAUUUCCGAGGAUACGAGUGGUGGUUGAUGAAAGAAGCUAAGAAGAGGAAUCCCAAUAUUACACUCAUUGGGUUGCCAUGGUCAUUCCCUGGAUGGCUGGGAAAAGGUUUCGACUGGCCUUAUGUCAAUCUUCAGCUGACUGCCUAUUAUGUCGUGACCUGGAUUGUGGGCGCCAAGCGUUACCAUGAUUUGGACAUUGAUUAUAUUGGAAUUUGGAAUGAGAGGUCAUAUAAUGCCAAUUAUAUUAAGGUUUUUGGAGAAUAGGUGGUAUUUGGUUACAUGAAUAUUAAGAAAAAUGCUGAAUUAUCAAGGUCUCCAGCGAGUGAAAAUCAUAGCAAGUGAUAAUCUCUGGGAGUCCAUCUCUGCAUCCAUGCUCCUUGAUGCCGAACUCUUCAAGGUGGUUGAUGUUAUAGGGGCUCAUUAUCCUGGAACCCAUUCAGCAAAAGAUGCAAAGUUGACUGGGAAGAAGCUUUGGUCUUCUGAAGACUUUAGCACUUUAAAUAGUGACAUGG